rnacentral:rRNA from 1 species
GUCUGCGGCCAUACCACCCUGAACACGCCCGAUCUCGUCGGAUCUCGGAAGCUAAGCAGCGUCAGGCCUGGUUAGUACUUGAAUGGGAGACCGUCUGGGACUACCGGGUGCUUUAAAAA